rnacentral:lncRNA from 1 species
UUUUGAUUCUAUAACAACUAUGGAAAGUAGGAGAUAUUAUCCUUGUUUUACAGAUAACAAAAUUGGGACUGAGGAAGGUCAAGUGACUUGUCCAAAUUCACACAGUUAGUAAAUAUACAAACUACAUUUGAAUUCAAGUUUUCUUGACUCUGAGCCCAUUGUUCAAUCCAUUGUACCACCCAGUUGCAUAGGGUCACACAGCCAGUUGGUGUCAGAGUGACAAUUGAAUCCAUAUUUUUUGGCUUUGAGGUCAGAUUGCUACCCUUUACAUUAUGCUGACUCUGAAUUUCUGUAUCUACAUAUCUUUUAUUUAUCUCUGUGUCUAAUAUUCUGUCUUUCUAUGUCAUAAUAGAAUAAUCUAGAUUCACAUUAUUCUUUGGAAAUGGAUUAUGACCUUGGCUCCAACCAGCCAUAGGAUAUAAGUUGCAGAGAGAAUGCUUACUUGGAUUGGUAGAGGUAGUUUCCUAUGCCAAUGAAGUCAUAGGUCCAUAUAUCCCUAAUUCAUAUGACAAAGUAACUUGGAAGCCUUCCCUAAUGUUUCCUGGGGUUCUACCAGUUCUCAUCGCAGCUUGCUGGUGGUUUUUCCUCUUGUGUGCACUUGGUUGGUUGCUAUGCAUGUCCAGGAGUGCAAGUCCAUUUGGGAAAUCUAUUGACUGAAGAAAACUCUAGACCUGGGUGAGUUCUUAGUUAAUUUUCUUAUUUAUACAGCAAUCAUUUGUGAAAGAUUUAUUUUUGUACAAAGUAUAUUGAAAAAAUAUUAAGUUUUGCUUUUAAAAAUGUCCCAGUACUCAGAGACUUUACAGUUUAGUAGAAUAUAGAAGACCUUUGGGUUAUGAGUCACUUUUUGGAGAAGCACCAGUUGUGAUUGUACGCCCUACUUCUUGGAACUCCUUGAGCAGAGGUUCUUAAUUACAAGUCAUUGAAAAUAUUUAUGGAUAAAUUUCAUGGGAAUGAGGGAUGGGGAGAAGAGCAGUCUGAACUUGAAAGGGGAAAAAUAAUUCUCCUUUAAUUAUAAUAGAUUUCUUUGUAAUCUAAUGUAUUUUAUUUUACACAUUUAAAAGCAUCAUUCUGAGAGGGGAUCCAUUGGUAUGUAUAGAUCUAUAAAACAAAAUUAGAUAAAUACCCCUGUACUAUAAAGGGACUUCAGUGCCAACCUGCUAUUUCUAAAGAUCUAAAAAUGUAGGAUCAUCUGAUUUGAGGGAAAGAAAUCUUUUUGGUCUUUUUCCUGUGCCUCAAUUUGUCUGUUUCUAUAGGAGUUUUAUAUUUGUUCAUAUUGUUUUUCACCACUAAUAAUUAUAAAAAGAGUAGUUGGCAUUUCUAUGGCAUUCUAAGAUUUGUAAUUUUCUCAUUUGAGACUAUCAGCCCAAUAAUCAAUUUAGUUUUCUGUCUCAAUCUAUUUAACAUCUAUGGUAAAAUGAGAAGCA